CGCUGGCGGCGUGCCUAAUACAUGCAAGUCGAACGGUCUUUCUAUGGAAGCUUGCUUCCACUGAGAAGAUAGUGGCGAACGGGUGAGUAACACGUGGGUAACCUGCCCAUAAGAGGGGGGAUAACAUCCGGAAACGGGUGCUAAUACCGCAUAGUUUUCUUGAUCGCAUGAUCGGGAAAGGAAAGACGGCCUUUGUGCUGUCGCUUAUGGAUGGACCCGCGGCGUAUUAGUUAGUUGGUGAGGUAACGGCUCACCAAGACGAUGAUACGUAGCCGACCUGGGAGGGUGAUCGGCCACGUUGGGACUGAGACACGGCCCAAACUCCUACGGGAGGCAGCAGUAGGGAAUCUUCCGCAAUGGACGAAAGUCUGACGGAGCAACGCCGCGUGAGUGAAGAAGGUUUUCGGGAAUCGUAAAACUCUGUUGUCAGAGAAGAACAAGUUGGAGAGUAACUGCUCCAGCCUUGACGGUAUCUGACCAGAAAGCCACGGCUAACUACGUGCCAGCAGCAGC
rnacentral:rRNA from 1 species